CAGAGGAAGGCUCGUCCGCUCUGGGUUAGUCGGGUCCUAAGCUGAGGCCGACAGGCGUAGGCGAUGGAUAACAGGUUGAUAUUCCUGUACCACCUAGUAUCGUUUUAAUCGAUGGGGGGACGCAGUAGGAUAGGCGAAGCGUGCUAUUGGAUUGCACGUCCAAGCAGUAAGACUGAGUGUUAGGCAAAUCCGGCACUCAUAAGGUCAAGCUGUGAUGGGGAGAGGAAAUUGUUUCCUCGAGUCGUUGAUUUCACACUGCCAAGAAAAGCCUCUAGAUAGAUAACAGGUGCCCGUACCGCAAACCGACACAGGUAGUCAAGAUGAGAAUUCUAAGGUGAGCGAGCGAACUCUCGUUAAGGAACUCGGCAAAAUGACCCCGUAACUUCGGGAGAAGGGGUGCUCUUUAGGGUUAACGCCCAGAAGAGCCGCAGUGAAUAGGCCCAAGCGACUGUUUAUCAAAAACACAGGUCUCUGCUAAACCGUAAGGUGAUGUAUAGGGGCUGACGCCUGCCCGGUGCUGGAAGGUUAAGAGGAGUAGUUAGCUUCUGCGAAGCUACGAAUCGAAGCCCCAGUAAACGGCGGCCGUAACUAUAACGGUCCUAAGGUAGCGAAAUUCCUUGUCGGGUAAGUUCCGACCCGCACGAAAGGCGUAACGAUUUGGGCACUGUCUCAACGAGAGACUCGGUGAAAUCAUAGUACCUGUGAAGAUGCAGGUUACCCGCGACAGGACGGAAAGACCCCGUGGAGCUUUACUGUAGCCUGAUAUUGAAAUUCGGCACAGCUUGUACAGGAUAGGUAGGAGCCUUUGAAACGUGAGCGCUAGCUUACGUGGAGGCAUUGGUGGGAUACUACCCUAGCUGUGUUGGCUUUCUAACCCGCACCACUUAUCGUGGUGGGAGACAGUGUCAGGUGGGCAGUUUGACUGGGGCGGUCGCCUCCUAAAAGGUAACGGAGGCGCUCAAAGGUUCCCUCAGAAUGGUUGGAAAUCAUUCAUAGAGUGUAAAGGCAUAAGGGAGCUUGACUGCGAGACUUACAAGUCGAGCAGGGUCGAAAGACGGACUUAGUGAUCCGGUGGUUCCGCAUGGAAGGGCCAUCGCUCAACGGAUAAAAGCUACCCCGGGGAUAACAGGCUUAUCUCCCCCAAGAGUUCACAUCGACGGGGAGGUUUGGCACCUCGAUGUCGGCUCAUCGCAUCCUGGGGCUGUAGUCGGUCCCAAGGGUUGGGCUGUUCGCCCAUUAAAGCGGUACGCGAGCUGGGUUCAGAACGUCGUGAGACAGUUCGGUCCCUAUCCGUCGUGGGCGUAGGAAAUUUGAGAGGAGCUGUCCUUAGUACGAGAGGACCGGGAUGGACAUACCUCUGGUGUACCAGUUGUCGUGCCAACGGCAUAGCUGGGUAGCUAUGUAUGGACGGGAUAAGUGCUGAAAGCAUCUAAGCAUGAAGCCCCCCUCAAGAUGAGAUUUCCCAACUUCGGUUAUAAGAUCCCUCAAAGAUGAUGAGGUUAAUAGGUUCGAGGUGGAAGCGUGGUGACACGUGGAGCUGACGAAUACUAAUCGAUCGAAGACUUAAUCAAAA
rnacentral:rRNA from 1 species